rnacentral:rRNA from 1 species
CCCUUGUACACACCGCCCGUCACACCAUGGGAGUCGUUUGCUCCAGAAGUGCCUACGCUAACCCGCAAGGGAGGCAGGGCCCCAAGGAGUGACCGGUAACUGGGGUG